GACGAACGCUGGCGGCGUGCCUAAUACAUGCAAGUAGAACGCUGAAGGAGGAGCUUGCUUCUCUGGAUGAGUUGCGAACGGGUGAGUAACGCGUAGGUAACCUGCCUGGUAGCGGGGGAUAACUAUUGGAAACGAUAGCUAAUACCGCAUAAUAGUAGAUGUUGCAUGACAUUGCUUAAAAGGUGCAAUUGCAUCACUACCAGAUGGACCUGCGUUGUAUUAGCUAGUUGGUGAGGUAACGGCUCACCAAGGCGACGAUACAUAGCCGACCUGAGAGGGUGAUCGGCCACACUGGGACUGAGACACGGCCCAGACUCCUACGGGAGGCAGCAGUAGGGAAUCUUCGGCAAUGGACGGAAGUCUGACCGAGCAACGCCGCGUGAGUGAAGAAGGUUUUCGGAUCGUAAAGCUCUGUUGUAAGAGAAGAACGAGUGUGAGAGUGGAAAGUUCACACUGUGACGGUAUCUUACCAGAAAGGGACGGCUAACUACGUGCCAGCAGCCGCGGUAAUACGUAGGUCCCGAGCGUUGUCCGGAUUUAUUGGGCGUAAAGCGAGCGCAGGCGGUUAGAUAAGUCUGAAGUUAAAGGCUGUGGCUUAACCAUAGUACGCUUUGGAAACUGUUUAACUUGAGUGCAAGAGGGGAGAGUGGAAUUCCAUGUGUAGCGGUGAAAUGCGUAGAUAUAUGGAGGAACACCGGUGGCGAAAGCGGCUCUCUGGCUUGUAACUGACGCUGAGGCUCGAAAGCGUGGGGAGCAAACAGG
rnacentral:rRNA from 1 species